GAUGGAUGCAUCGGAGAGCAAGUUGGGGUUAGUAUCUUGCCCAAGGAUACUUGACAUGCAGACUGGAGGCAGGGAUCGAACCACCGACCUUCCGAUCAGUAGGUGACCUGCUCUACCUCCUGAGCUACAGCCACCUUAACCUUGUCAUUAUCCAAAGGAUCGUUAACAUCCAUAUGUACAUAUGCACCACCGUAAGCAACUGUGAAAACAGUGAAAAACCCAAUCAUGCUUCUGCCAUCGACAGGUAAAUGUGAUACGCUCAGAGGUAAUUAAGAAAUGUUCAAUAUCAUCCUCAUCUGUCAGUUUUUGUAAUUUAGGCUCCAGGAAAUGGGACUGACCAGAUGAGCCAGCAACUGACAUACUGGGACCAGCUUGCGGAGGGUCAUCAUCUAGACUCUGGAUCAGGAGGUUCAGCUGCCGGACGUUCAGGCACUGGAGAAGUGCGGACUUGUGUUUCUACCUGUAACAGCUGAAACUGGUGUUGAAGCACUUUAAAACGUUGCUCCUGCCUUGCAUCCUCCUGUUUAGCCUCUGACCGCCUGCUGGCCCAUGUGUGAACGAAGAGGAGAAAUCAGAUCCGAUAUUGUUGGCUCCUUACCUUGGCCGUCAACGCUAUCUACCCCUCCAGAAGCGCCAUUUUCCUCUUGUUCCCCAUCAGCUUGUCCCUCCGAGCCCAUCUGCUGGCUUUGUACAUCUCCUCGGACUGCUCUCACAGUCCUUGCUCCUCUCUGCAUGGCUUGUUAAGGAGCAGUGAAAAAAUGACCCCACAAAACCCUGUGCAUGUUGAACUGGCUGUAUCCCACUUCUGACACCAAAUAUCAGGGACCAAGCAGCUAAGAACAUACAGGCACAGGUAUACACUUCAGAAAAGACAAAACUAUUACAAAAAUUCAAAAUGACAGAAAAAAACCUAUUUUUAAGUGGUCAACUUAACAAAAUUAUACUCAAAAAACCAGCUUAACAAAACAUAACUCAGCAAACUGACCUCCCAAACAAGACACAGCUCCUGUUAUAUAGUAAG
ensembl:lncRNA